rnacentral:lncRNA from 1 species
UUUUGAAUGUAGUAACAUGCCUUAGAGAAUGUGCUCAAUUCCUUACUAGAUAUGCACUCAAUUUUCACUCAGAUAUUCUGACUACACACCCUAUACUAGUUAUAUGUGAGAAGAUUGUUAUAAACAUGAAAACGAAUGCUCACAUAUAUGUAUAACAAAGAAAGCACUUUUCGGAGUUAAUAAGCAUGUUUAGAUAUAAUCUCAUGAAUGGAAUGCUACUACUUAGAUGCGAGAACCAGUGACACCAUAUGCUCAUGCCAAUUUUAAACUCCACAAAUUGAAACACAUAACACUCAAGAUUAAAGUCAAGGGUUGUAACGGGGCUAGGGGAGUUGGCUAACAACGAAAGGAUAGGGAAAACAAACGUUCUUUAAGCAAUAGUAAGCAAAACAAUGAAAUCGUACUCAGAAUUCCCAUUAGCAUGCAGAAAUUAACUUUUAAACACAAAAGGGAAGAUUCAACAACAAUUAGGGCCGAAUUCAUUGUUUUGGACCCUUCCUUCAACAAACAACACUUAAGAACUCUUUUUCUCAACUUUUCAACUCUUUUUUCAAACUUUUCAUACUUUUUUCUUCAAUUUUUUUUUCUUUUUCCACGAAAUUUUUUUUUUCUUUUCUUUUUCGUGCCUCAUUCAAGACUUUGGCACACCCACAACAAAACUCACUUCCCCCACACUUGU